GCCGGGCGUGAUGGUGCAUGCCUGUAAUCCCAGCUACUUGGGAGGCUGAGGCACAAGAAUUACUUGAGCCCGGGAGGUGGAAGUUGCAGUGAGCCGAGAUUGUGCCACUGCACUCUAGCCCGGGCAACAGAGUGAGACUCUGUCUCUA
rnacentral:SRP_RNA from 1 species